GCAGGUUCGUUCCCUGCAUCGAGCAC
rnacentral:misc_RNA from 1 species